UAUCGCGUAAAUUAACGCAGAUAGUGGAUGCCUAGGCUUGUUUGGCCGAAGAAGGACGCAUAAGAUCGCGAAAGUCGUCGGGGAGCUGUCAUAAAGCUAUGAUCCGGCGGUGUCCGAAUGGGGCAACCCCUCUAGUAGAAAUACUAGGGAUCCGACUAUUUAUAGUCAGGAAGGUAAGCUGGGGAACUGAAAUAUCUUAGUACCCAGAGGAAAAUAAAACGUAAGUGAUUCCCUUAGUAAGCGACGAGCGAACAGGGAUUAGCCCAAACCCGGGUACGCCCGGGGGUUGUAGGACCUCAAUGUGGAUAAUUUUUAGAUAGUAGAAUAGUGUGGAAUAAUUAACCAUAGAACGUGAAAGUCGUGUAUAUAAAAUCUAGAAAUGAUCCUAGAGUGUUCCUGAAUAGGUUGGGAGACGGCAAACUCCCUUCUGAAUCUGGGGUGACCACACUCCAAGGCUAAAUACCAAACAAGACCGAUAGCGAACGAG
rnacentral:rRNA from 1 species